rnacentral:rRNA from 1 species
UUUUAUUUACUGUAAAGAUAGUAUAUUUUUAUAAUACUUAUUACCUUUUGCAUAAUGGUUUAAUAAUAUUUAAGUUUAAUUACUUAACCCGAAGUUAGAAGAUCUAAUUUAUAUUUAUUAUUAGAAUAAUUAUUUAUAAUGUUUCAAAAUUAUAUUAAAAAUAUAAAUUAGGGGUGAAAGGCUUAACAAUUCUAAAAAUAUCUGGAAUAUCUUUAAAUGUAUUUAGUACAAAAUUAAAUUUGAGUAAAAAAAUGUUAAGAUUUUUUUAUUUAGUAGAAUAUUAAUUAUAUAUAAUAUAUGAUUUAAUCUUCUAAUAUUAAAUAAAAUUAUAAAUUUAUUAUUAUAUUUAUCUUAAAAAUAAAGUUAUAUUAAAUUUAAUUAAUACUUAAAUUAAUAAUGUUAAAAUUAGUAAAUAAUAUAUUAUUUUAUUUAGGAACUCGGCAAAAACAUUAUUCAACUGUUUAUCAAAAACAUAGUUUUAUGUAUUAUAUAUAAAAUGAAACCUGCCCAAUGAUUAUAAUUUAAUGGCCGCAGUACCUUGACUGUGCUAAGGUAGCAUAAUAAAUUGACUCUUAAUUGGGGCCUUGAAUGAAUGGAUAAAUGAAUAAUUUCUAUCUUAAUAAAAAUUAUCUUAAAUUACUUAAAAGGUGAAAAUUCCUUUAAUUUUAUAUAAUAGACGAGAAGACCCUAGGAGUUUUAAAUUUUGUUGGGGCGACAAUAUAGCAUAUAACCUAUAUAUAACAAUAUUAUAAAACGAAUAAUUUUAAUAAUAAAUAAACUACCCUAGGGAUAACAGCACAAUUUAAUUUUAAGUUUGUGACCUCGAUGUUGGACUAGGAACUUUUAACAUUAACAAUGUUAAUUGGUAGUUCUGUUCGA